UACGUAGGGUGCAAGCGUUGUCCGGAAUUAUUGGGCGUAAAGAGCUCGUAGGCGGUCUGUCGCGUCGGCUGUGAAAACUCGGGGCUCAACUCCGAGCUUGCAGUCGAUACGGGCAGGCUAGAGUGCGGUAGGGGAGAUUGGAAUUCCUGGUGUAGCGGUGGAAUGCGCAGAUAUCAGGAGGAACACCGAUGGCGAAGGCAGAUCUCUGGGCCGUAACUGACGCUGAGGAGCGAAAGCGUGGGGAGCGAACAGG
rnacentral:rRNA from 1 species